CUCCUCGUAGUUCAAUGGAUAGAACGAGCGCCUCCUAAGCGCUAGAUACAGGUUCGAUUCCUGUCGAGGGGA
rnacentral:tRNA from 2 species